CCUUCGGGCGCUGACGAGUGGCGGACGGGUGAGUAAUUGCUUGGGAAUCUGGGCUUAUGGGAGGGGGGAUAAACUAACUGGAAACGGUAGCUAAUACCGCGUAAUCUCUUAGGAGUAAAGGGUGGGACUUUCGGGCCACCUGCCAUAAGAUGAGCCCAAGUGGGAUUAGGUAGUUGGUGGGGUAAAGGCCUACCAAGCCGACGAUCUCUAGCUGGUCUGAGAGGAUGGCCAGCCACACUGGAACUGAGACACGGUCCAGACUCCUACGGGAGGCAGCAGUGGGGAAUAUUGCACAAUGGGGGGAACCCUGAUGCAGCCAUGCCGCGUGAAUGAAGAAGGCCUUCGGGUUGUAAAGUUCUUUCCGGUGAUGAGGAAGGCAGGCUUGUUAAUAGCAAGUUUGAUUGACGUUAGUCACAGAAGAAGCACCGGCUAACUCCGUGCCAGCAGCCGCGGUAAUACGGAGGGUGCGAGCGUUAAUGCGGAAUAACUGGGCGUAAAGGGCACGCAGGCGGAUUGUUAAGUGAGAUGUGAAAGCCCCGAGCUCAACUUGGGAAUUGCAUUUCAGACUGGCAGUCUAGAGUAUUUUAGGGAGGGGUAGAAUUCCACGUGUAGCGGUGAAAUGCGUAGAGAUGUGGAGGAAUACCGAAGGCGAAGGCAGCCCCUUGGGAAUAUACUGACGCUCAUGUGCGAAAGCGUGGGGAGCAAACAGGAUUAGAUACCCUGGUAGUCCACGCUGUAAACGAUGUUGAUUUGGGGAUUGGGCUUUAAGCUUGGUGCCCGUAGCUAACGUGAUAAAUCAACCGCCUGGGGAGUACGGCCGCCAAGGUUAAAACUCAAAUGAAUUGACGGGGGCCCGCACAAGCGGUGGAGCAUGUGGUUUAAUUCGAUGCAACGCGGAAGAACCUUACCUACCCUUGACAUCCAUGGAAUCA
rnacentral:rRNA from 1 species